CAUGUUCGUUAUCUUCCAACCUGAUGGUGAGCUUUAAGCUUGAUAUCCGGAUAAUUGAAAACAAUAAACUGGUCUGAGCUCCCUGCACUUCAUACAGGAAGGAAUUGGGGUCCAUUGUUAAAAAUGCUCGUACACGUGCUAAUGUUUUUCGAGCAAGUACCACCAAAAAAGUUUCUUCAGUAAAAUCUGUCAAGUUAACCACGUGUUGGCGCUGAACUACUCAUGAUCUCAUGACUAAACACACCAGGACCGUGGUUGGUGACCAACUUCGCUUUGACCGUGCUGACGAGAUUUAUAUAUAGACAGGGUUUUUCUGCAAGUUACAGGCAAGGGAAAGACACUCGCGACCUCCUAGAAACGAUCAACGUAGAAGUAUUCGUGUACGAGAAAACCUUCCGGAUGCGGAUAUCACUCGCCAAACAGGAACAUCUUUCUCAGGGUGUGAAGGAACUAUCUAUUACGGAUGGCACAACAGGGAUAGUCAGGAUCAGGACAUACCAAGUUUUUGGUGAUUCUUGUUGAAGCCUGAAUAAAGAGAGAUGGAUUCCAGGUCGUUUCGAGAAGCUUUCAGAAGAUGAAAUCGAUAAUUGGUUCAAUUGGCUCAACUUCUGACAAGGUAUCGUUCGCAACAUUCGAAUCUAUCGAUCACGUUUUUUUAAGUUAUUGAUCAGAGCGUUCUGGAGUUUGUGGAGGACCAUUUUUAAUUUGAAGAAAUGAUCUUAAAAAAACCGCGAUAGAUCAUAAAGGCAGUAAAUUUUAACCUGUCUGCAACUGAAGGGUUGUCUCUCGUGGCCCUUGGAACUGAUCCUCCAAAAUUUCUUCCUCUUCUGGUCUGUCCUCGUUCUGUUCAUAAAAGGUCGAGGUUUUGUCGCUGACACUGAAGGUUUUUUAAUAUCAGGCAAAUCAAUGAUAAAGUUAUGAGAAAAUGAAAGGUAAUAAACGCCCAAAGAAAAACCUUUUGAUGUUUCUGCCAUAAAAUCACAUCUAAAAGUAAUUAUAAAAUUUUUAUUUUUAAGGCAAAGGUUUAUCGAUAAUCAAUAUGGAUGGAAUGGGGUGAAGGGGAAGCUGUUUUAAUAUCCUCUCUCUCUCUUUCUCACUCUCUCUCUAUCGCUAUCUCUUUUUCUAAAAAUGUCUCAUAGGGCCGUCGGUGGAGGCGUAAAGGUCCCGGGUUCGAAUCCAGCGGCCCUGGAUUCGAAACCGACAUUCUUACAAUUGGGGGGGGGGAACAUCGACUCCCCGAGGGUUCAGAUAACCUCGUAGUUGAAAUACCUCCGUUAAAAAAUAAAAUAAAAAUAAAUAAAAGAUGGAGCAAAAAUAAAGUUAGAAAGAGUUUUCCUUCAGGACUCAAUAAUUUCAA